rnacentral:rRNA from 1 species
UACGGAGGGUGCGAGCGUUGUCCGGAAUCUUUGGGCGUAAAGGGCGCGUAGGUGGCCCGGUCAGUCAGUGGUGAAAGCGCGGGGCUCAACUCCGCGUCGGCCAUUGAUACUGCUGGGCUGGAGCACUGUAGAGGCAGGCGGAAUUCCGGGUGUAGCGGUGGAAUGCGUAGAGAUCCGGAAGAACACCGGUGGCGAAGGCGGCCUGCUGGGCAGUUGCUGACACUGAGGCGCGACAGCGUGGGGAGCAAACAGG